GUGUCAGCAGCCGCGGUAAUACAGAGACCCCAAGCGUUAUCCGGAAUUAUUGGGCGUAAAGGGUGAGUAGGUGGUAUUGUUAGUCGGGUUUGAAAGAUUGUGGGCUCAACCCAUGAUAUGGACCCGAAACGGCAAAACUAGAAUAUGUAAGAGGUUAGUGGAACUAUAUGUGUAGGGGUAAAAUCCGUUGAUAUAUAUGGGAACACCUAAAGCGAAGGCAGCUAACUGGUACAUUAUUGACACUGAAUCACGAAAGCGUGGGUAGCGAUACGGAUUAGAAACCCCUGUAGUCC
rnacentral:rRNA from 1 species